rnacentral:rRNA from 1 species
CGAGCGAGUCUGCCUUGAAGAUCGGAGUGCUUGCACUCUGUGAAACAAGAUACAGGCUAGCGGCGGAUGGGUGAGUAACACGUGGGUAACCUGCCUAAGAGAUCGGGAUAACACCUGGAAACAGAUGCUAAUACCGGAUAACAACAGAUGAUGCCUAUCAACUGUUUAAAAGAUGGUUCUGCUAUCACCCUUGGAUGGACCUGCGGUGCAUUAGCUAGUUGGUAGGGUAACGGCCUACCAAGGCGAUGAUGCAUAGCCGAGUUGAGAGACUGAUCGGCCACAUUGGGACUGAGACACGGCCCAAACUCCUACGGGAGGCAGCAGUAGGGAAUCUUCCACAAUGGACGCAAGUCUGAUGGAGCAACGCCGCGUGAGUGAAGAAGGGUUUCGGCUCGUAAAGCUCUGUUGUUGGUGAAGAAGGACAGGGGUAGUAACUGACCUUUGUUUGACGGUAAUCAAUUAGAAAGUCACGGCUAACUACGUGCCAGCAGCCGCGGUAAUACGUAGGUGGCAAGCGUUGUCCGGAUUUAUUGGGCGUAAAGCGAGUGCAGGCGGCUCGAUAAGUCUGAUGUGAAAGCCUUCGGCUCAACCGGAGAAUUGCAUCAGAAACUGUCGAGCUUGAGUACAGAAGAGGAGAGUGGAACUCCAUGUGUAGCGGUGAAAUGCGUAGAUAUAUGGAAGAACACCGGUGGCGAAGGCGGCUCUCUGGUCUGUUACUGACGCUGAGGCUCGAAAGCAUGGGUAGCGAACAGGAUUAGAUACCCUGGUAGUCCAUGCCGUAAACGAUGAGUGCUAAGUGUUGGGAGGUU